UUCUUGGAGUCUUACCAUCUCCAAUUCCAAUUAUUUCUAAUUUUCUACACUCCUUGCAAGAAUGAUGCUCAUCUGCCUUGUCCUCUUCCCUUCCCUCACUGCAGAUUCAUGGUCAUGCCAUCCUUUUCGAGCAUUAGGGUUGAAGGCUUGAAGCUGGACGAUUGCAAACGGAGCAGAAGUGUCAGGUUGUAAACUAACUUAGCAAGUGUCAGGCUUGAAGCUGGAUGGAAAGCGUGGACAACCAAAAUAUUUAGAGAAAGCUUUAUGUCUAUAUGCUGGUGAUGGACAGCUAGAAGAAUGAAGAAUUACAGAAAGGUUUAUUGGUAACUGCUGGUGCCGA